rnacentral:misc_RNA from 1 species
CCGAGUUCAUGCCCUUCGGGGUAGAUCUCCCACCCUUUGUUUACCACACCUAUGUUGCUUUGGCGGGCCGCCUCGGCUACUGGCUUCGGCUGGUACGUGCCCGCCAGAGACCCCAACCAAAACCCAGUUAUUAAUGUCGUCUGAGUAAAAUAUUUAAUAUUUA